ACUAGUAGGUGGGAGAGCAAGACGCAGGUCAAGAUCCGGGCCAAAGUGAAGGGAAAAAUUAAUUGAAUUAGCACUUGUUUCAAGAUGCACCUCAUCUCUUGCCAAUGUUCCUUGUUAAGAAAAAAAAAAGUUAGCUUAAGAACAUAAGAUGGAAGCAAGUCAAAAGUGCAGAAUCCAGAUAUGAUGUGAAAUGAGACACAAAUACAUGCCUCUCCCCUGGAGAUCAGUAACUGGUAUGCUAAGAGACAUGAAGCAUAUCAACGCAGCUGUGGGUCUUCAAGGAGAUACUCACUGACACUUCCUUUUCCCAGCAGAAGGAAGAACAGCUGUUAUAGUGCAGUACUGAGAAACUGCUGUUAAAAUAAUUCAUUGUAAAAAUUAUUAAUCCCAAAGGAUGUCAAGGAAUAAUUAUUAUACUCUUCUAUUGUUACAACAGCUCUAAAUUGGUCAUAUACAUUAUUAAUAAUUCUUUCCUUGGUGUUUGGAGAAUA